rnacentral:rRNA from 1 species
UCCUACGGGACGCAGCAGUGGGGGAUAUUGCACAAUGGGGGGAACCCUGAUGCAGCGACGCCGCGUGGGUGAGGAAGUACCCCGGUAUGUAAAGCCCUUUCGGCAGGGAAGAAAAUGACGGUACCUGGCGAAGAAGCCCCGGCUAACUACGUGCCAGCAGCCGCGGUAAUACGUAGGGGGCAAGCGUUAUCCGGAUUCACUGGGUGUAAAGGGAGCGCAGGCGGUACGGCG